AUUGAAGUUUCUAGAAGCUCCGAUCCUUUGAGAACGUAAUCGUGACCGUUCGUUGGAUGAAUCAAUUCGUUCUCCGAUAAAUCGUGCCACACGUAUCCAUUUUUAUAGCUCCUAAACUAAAGUACCGCUUGCAAGACCAGGAGAACAAAUAAGCCAUGCCUUUUCCUCUCAUCAAUAUAGUGUUAUAUCAAUUACCUAUGAGAUAGAGUCCAUCAGAGGAAGAGAACGGAACUUCAAUGAAAUGAGGAUGCUCAAGUUGGCCAUUUCUGCACAGAUAAUAAAUAACAGGGACAGUUUUGAAAGCCUUAGGUUUUGGUUCAAUCCAAAUCAUGUUUCUCUCAGGAGAAUUGAUCUCCCUAUGAUUCCAUUUCUUAGGGAUCAAAAGCUCAGUGCUUGAUCGGGAAUUGGAACUCGUUGCGACUGCCAUCGAUCUCUUUAGUUUGAUUGGAAUUUCAACUCAGUACCUUUUCGAGUGAGAUUUUGAGAAGAAUUGCUCUUCAGUUGUAAGUUAUAGAUUGUAGUUUAGCGGGAACAUGCAAUUGAAUAUAAAUAUAAGAUUGAGGGGUGGCGGGUAAUGAAAAUCAAGUCCGUGAGAGGGAUAUCAAGUCUCAAAAAAAGAGUGCCGUGAAUGAGGGGAGUUGAAUUUGAUGGGAUUUGAUGUGUUAGUUUAGUUGUAGUCUCAAAGUUCAGAAUUCAAGAAGUCUGUAUUGUGGGACAUGUGAUGUCUGUAUUAGUUAGAAGCUCUUUGCUUCUUCAGAUUGUUUAAUGAUUUGCAUCCCCCUCUUCACCAUA